GAUGAACGCUGGCGGCGUGCCUAAUACAUGCAAGUCGAGCGAACGGACGAGAAGCUUGCUUCUCUGAUGUUAGCGGCGGACGGGUGAGUAACACGUGGAUACCCUACCUAUAAGACUGGGAUAACUUCGGGAAACCGGCGCUAAUACCGGAUAAUAUUUUGAACCGCAUGGUUCAAAAGUGAAAGACGGUCUUGCUGUCACUUAUAGAUGGAUCCGCGCUGCAUUAGCUAGUUGGUAAGGUAACGGCUUACCAAGGCAACGAUGCAUAGCCGACCUGAGAGGGUGAUCGGCCACACUGGAACUGAGACACGGUCCAGACUCCUACGGGAGGCAGCAGUAGGGAAUCUUCCGCAAUGGGCGAAAGCCUGACGGAGCAACGCCGCGUGAGUGAUGAAGGUCUUCGGAUCGUAAAACUCUGUUAUUAGGGAAGAACAUAUGUGUAAGUAACUGUGCACAGCUUGACGGUACCUAAUCAGAAAGCCACGGCUAACUACGUG
rnacentral:rRNA from 1 species